CUUGGUGGUCUUCCUGCUUACUUCAUCCCCAAGAUGCCAGCCAAAUGGCCCACUGGGGCCUGGGACCCUUCACAGCCCAGAUGUGUUGGGCUGAGCGGGAGCAGCUGAGCUCCAGGGACGGCACCCUGAUGAGCAAGCUGAGGCUUGGAGACAUGAAUGAUUUGCCCGGUGUGGUUCUGCUCAUAAGCACGAGGCAGCAUCUGCACGUGUCUGGCUCCAGAGCGUGAGCUAUAAACCCCAGUGCAUCUGCUCACCCGCCUCACCUGUCCCCACGAGGCACUCUUGGUGCCAUGGGGAGACUGAGCUUAAAAACACGCCCAGACCCCACCCCCAAGACCGCGACUGAAUUGGUGUGUGCGAGGACCCGGCAUGCUUUGAAACUCCAGACAUAGCUCUACCCACUAUGCCACAGCGCUGGCCCCCACAGUCAGACUUUGGAACACAUGUAUCGGGAAAGGAGAGGACAAUGAGUUCCAUGGGCCAGGAAUGGCUCUG